rnacentral:rRNA from 1 species
CACGCCCUAAACGAUGUCAACUGGAUGUUGGAGGGGUUAAACCCUUUAGUGUCGUAGCUAACGCGAGAAGUUGACCGCCUGGGGAGUACGGCCGCAAGGCUAAAACUCAAAGGAAUUGACGGGGACCCGCACAAGCGGUGGAUGAUGUGGUUUAAUUCGAUGCAACGCGAAAAACCUUACCCACCUUUGACAUGGUCGGAACCCUUUAGAGAUAGAGGGGUGCUCGAAAGAGAGCCGAUACACAGGUGC